AGUCUGAUGAUUUUUAAUUUUUUUUGUCAAAUUUAGAUAUGGGUUUAUGGGAACAGCUUUGAGUCCUUCCUGAUCGCAGUAGUUAAUCCUAACAAGCAAGCAAUUGAAAGUUGGGCUGAACAAAACGGUGUAUCUGGUGAUUUCAAUUCUCUCUGUGAACAUACAAGGGUGAAAGAAUACAUACUUGGAGAGCUCAAUAAGAUUGCUAAAGAGAAAAAGUUGAAAGGCUUUGAGGUUAUAAAAGCUGUUCAUCUCGACCCAGAACCAUUUGACAUGGAGCGUGACCUUAUCACUCCAACUUACAAGAAGAAGAGACCCCAGUUGCUUAAAUAUUAUAAGGAAAUCAUUGAUAACAUGUACAAGAGUGCAAAAUAAGCCCUAAUGCCUGAAAGAUUUACUUGAGGAGCCUGAGACCUUGUUCAAUUUGACAAAUUCGAUUCUAGUUUAUUUUGUGACUGUACAUAUGCUUAUUUGUACACCUGAUAAUUUGUGUACCGAAUUUGGAUGUACUUCAGAAAACUACUGAUGUAUGUUUAUGCAAAUGGGCUAAACCAUUAACUUUGA